UACGGAGGGGGCUAGCGUUGUUCGGAAUACUGGGCGUAAAGCGCGUGUAGGUGGCGAGGCAAGUCGGGUGUGAAAGCCCUGGGCUCAACCCAGGAAGUGCACUCGAUACUGCCUAGCUAGAGUCCCGGAGAGGUUGGUGGAACUCUCGGUGUAGAGGUGAAAUUCGUAGAUAUCGAGAAGAACACCGGUGGCGAAGGCGGCCAACUGGACGGUGACUGACACUGAGACGCGAAAAGCGUGGGGAGCAAACAGG
rnacentral:rRNA from 1 species